GCUACUGUUAUGCUUUCUGGUCAAAUAGCUGAUGGAUUUGCAACCAUAUUUGCUGGCGAACUGGUAUCUUGAUUAUAAUUGUAUCAUACAUAGAUGCUUCUUGCUAACCGUAUUUUCAACAUUCAUCAAUAAAUGACUUAAUAGAGGUCGCACUUGGUGCGAUGGCAAGUGCCUUCGCCCAUGAGCGGUAGGUCUCGGGUUUGAGACUUGGGAGUAGCUUCUCCAUAAAUGGGGGUAAGGCUAGCCGACAUUCACCUCUCUCAGACCUUGCGUAAAGCGGGAGCCUUGUGCACUGGGUACGACCUUUUAUCAAUAAAUGACUUAAUAUAUGCUGAAAAGCAUGCUUGAUGGAUCACAUAGCUUAAGUGCCGAUAUAAUUUUUUUUGGAACCUUAUGUUGACAAGUCCACAUACCUACAUGGCCUAUUUCCCUUAGACAUGCUAGGUUGCUUUCAACAUUUUACUUGUAUGUAUUGUAUUUAGAAGCCAUAACUUAUCUAGAGUCGUGUCAUAUCGACAACGUUAUAAACGAAGUGUCAAUGUUACAUAAGUGAUGGGGGACUAAGCCCAGAAAGCCACCCAUUCUGCUCUCCAAGUGAUUGAAAUCAUACCCGACCAGAAAAAGAAAUUAUGAAUUAAUAAUUGUGAGCCUUUUAAUUCCUGUUUCCUUUUCAGUUUUGGCAAUUGCAAGUUGCAACCAUGGUUUUUUAUUUGAUCUGCAAAUAAUAUUUGUUUCUGUUUGCAACUUGAUAGAUA
rnacentral:lncRNA from 1 species